UACGAAGGGUGCAAGCGUUAUUCGGAAUAAUUGGGCGUAAAGGGUUCGUAGGUGGGAUAGAAAGUCAAGUGUGAAAUCUCCGAGCUUAACUUGGAACGUGCAUUUGAAACUCCUAUUCUUGAGUAUUGGAGAGGGUAGUGGAAUUGUUGGUGUAGGAGUGACAUCCGUAGAGAUCAGCAGGAACAUCAGAGGCGAAGGCGACUACCUGGCCGAUUACUGACACUGAGGAACGAAAGCGUGGGGAGCAAACAGG
rnacentral:rRNA from 1 species